rnacentral:lncRNA from 1 species
AAUCAGUUGACCGAUCGAUAAUCGGCUAUUCUCAGCUAUCAACGGAUAACUACGAUAACUCGGUUAAUCUCCGACUGAUGCUUAUUUAGAUCUUCACGACUAUCGACAUACUAUUAUUAUCGACAUAUAGUCGGCUUAUCUGAAACUGCUAACGCAGAAAGUGCAUAAUGGUAAGAAUAUGAUCAGUGGCGGAUAUAACCACUCAUCCCAUGAUCACAUAAUGUCGGAA